GUGCGCAAGGGGCAGCUCUUUCCCUCUGAGAGGGCGAUUCGGCUGGCAACGCAGCAUGGUGUCUCUGACCAGGGAUACUGUUGCUUUGUGUUUUUUGCCUGUUUCUUUUUCUUUUCUUUUCCUUUGGCACUGUGACUGGGCUUGCUGGCUUGCUUCUUUGCUUCUCUGCUGUUGGAGAGCCCAGAGCCAGUGCAUGCCGCUCUGGGACCCAGCAGCACUCUGUUCCUCUCCGGGGGCCGCCCCCCUCUGCACAGCCUGCACCCAGGGACCAGCCAUCAGAGGCUCCCAGCGUCCCAGAGCCUUGAAAGCACCAGGAUCUGGGACUCCGUGGGAAUACGCACUAUGGUGUGACUCUGGAGCUGUGAAGUGAAAUGAGCUAUACAGAAUGGACCCUGCAAGCUCUAAAAACCCCCAAAAGACAGAGGUGAGCUGGCAGUAAAAUUUGUGCAAUUAAAUCAGAAGAUAACCUAUGGUUUGUCAGAAGUUCAUGUACACUGAGACACAUCUCUAAAACAGCAAGAAAGAGACAUUUUUUCCACAGAAAACCACAUCAUUGAAAAAAUUCCUAGCACAUUUCAAAGCCGCAAUCAGUAACUGAGCAGAAAUCCAGCUUUAGGAUUGGAAAAGGGAUUUUGUUCUUUGUUGGUCCUUUAGUGGCUUACACAGCUCCAGUGCUGAGGACUGAAGGGAUUGCAGAUGACUCCCAAGAAUCUAAUGGUCCCAGUGAGACAGAGAGAAGAGAGAGGCAGGUAUGUGCUACCCUUUGCUCUGGGAUGCGUUUGAAAACACACACAAAAAAUAUCACAUAGAACAGAAAGACCAGGUAGUUUGCAUUUUAGUAGUUGCUACAUUUGGCUAUGCACAUAGAUCUAGAAUGGGUCAAACUAACUUAAGAUCCAUGAAUUUCUGUUUAACAGGACUAUCAGUCCCACGUUAGCUUUUUUCCCACAAUCUUAGACAAAAACAUGGUAUUUCAUUCUAUGUCAAACGUACUGUGUGUGCUGUUGGAAAACUGUUCAGCUGAAUUACUUCAGGAGGUAGCACCUGGGUUACAUAAAAUAAUGCCACAUAUUAAAUCUCUUUUUUAUGCCAGGUAAUCUCUUUCCAUUAAGAGGAGCCUCUCAUUGGGAAAUAUAUCUUAUUUUAUCAGUUUUAGCUUCAGCUGAUCUUUUUUACCUCUUUUUGUUGAGACCCACUUCACUUUAUGGUAAACCUUCAAAACCCAUGUGGCAGAAUUUGUGCCCACCAGAACAAGAAGCGUCUAGCAAGAUGAGCUACGAGGGUGGUUAUACCCACAAGAAUGAAACAAUACUCAACACAUUUCCUCUUAUCAUGGAACUUACCAAAAGAUCACUUAAACUGAUGGCACUCCUUCUAUGGACUUCAACAAGCUUUGGAUCAGAUGAAUCCUGCACAGUAUCAACACCUGAGAUCUCAGCUCAGCCUUGACACUGUUUCUCAUAGGAGCUGUUGUAAAGCACUUGCACUUGACAGUCAGGAGAAGGAACAGAAACACCCCACAGGCUUUCAGAACCACAGUGACAACAUAGGAGGACAAUGAUAAUGAAAGAAGCAUCGCUCAUGUGAAAUAUGCUGUGUAAAAAGGAUCUACUUCCAUAUAUGCAGUAAUGAAGCACUUGUGAAGGUGUUGCCUGGAGAUGUCAGCUCUCCCCCCAAAAGAUCAUAGCCAAGCAUUUCCUGUGACUUUUGUUGCUAUAACUCCUCCUGUCACAUGCUUGCGUGUUCAUCGUGGCUGCUUGUCCUGCAUGGCCGCCGCCUCGCCGACUCCGACGUCUCGGCCGGGCCCCCGCGUUGCGGCUGCUCCGCGCUCUCCGAGUGGCGC